rnacentral:rRNA from 1 species
CUUUACCAUGCGGGCAACCGUGAUAAGGAAACCCCGAGUGCCAGCACAGGCUGGCUGUCCGCCAGUGUAAAUAACUGGUGAAGAAAGGGCCGGGCAAGACCGGUGCCAGCCGCCGCGGUAAUACCGGCGGCUCGAGUGGUGGCCACUAUUACUGGGCUUAAAGGGUCUGUAGCCGGCCGGAUAAGUCUCUUGAGAAAUCUGGCAGCUUAACUGUCAGGCUUUCAGGAGAUACUGUCUGGCUCGAGGCCGGGAGAGGUGAGAGGUACUUCGAGGGGUAGGGGUGAAAUCUUGUAAUCCUUGAAGGACCACCAGUGGCGAAGGCGUCUCACCAGAACGGACCUGACGCAAGGGAC